CCUACGGGUGGCAGCAGUGGGGAAUAUUGCGCAAUGGGCGAAAGCCUGACGCAGCGACGCCGCGUGAGGGAUGAAGGUCUUCGGAUCGUAAACCUCUGUCAGCAGGGAAGCACGGUCACUGUGCUAAUCAGCAGUGAAUUGACCGUACCUGACCAAGAAGCGCCGGCUAACUACGUGCCAGCAGCCGCGGGCAUACGUAGGGGGCAAGCGUUAUCCGGAAUUACUGGGUGUAAGGGGAGCGUAGGCGGCUGUGCAAGUCCGGAGUGAAAGGCGGGGGCCCAACCCCCGGACUGCUCUGGAAACUGUAUGGCUUGAGUGCAGGAGAGGUAAGCGGAAUGCCUAGUGUAGCGGUGAAAUGCGUAGAUAUUAGGAGGAACCCCAGUGGCGAAGGCGGCUUACUGGACUGUAACUGACGUUGAGGCUCGAAAGCGUGGGGAGCAAACAGGAUUAGAUACCCGAGUAGUC
rnacentral:rRNA from 1 species